GCAGUAGCCGCGGGAAUACGAAGGGGGCUAGCGUUGUUCGGAAUUACUGGGCGUAAAGCGUGCGCAGGCGGUUCGUUAAGACAGAUGUGAAAUCCCCGGGCUCAACCUGGGAACUGCAUUUGUGACUGGCAGGCUAGAGUAUGGCAGAGGGGGGUGGAAUUCCGCGUGUAGCAGUGAAAUGCGUAGAUAUGCGGAGGAACACCGAUGGCGAAGGCAGCCCCCUGGGCCAAUACUGACGCUCAUGCACGAAAGCGUGGGGAGCAAACAGGAUUAGAUACCCCCGUAGUCCCUGUCUCUUAUAC
rnacentral:rRNA from 1 species